GGCGCAGCCCACGUGGUUCGGGCGGGAGGCGCCGGGACCUGGCCAGCUGCCCGCCUGCCCCGGAGAGCCAGGCGCUAACCAGCCGCUCUGCGCCCCGCGCCCUGCUUGCCCCCAUUAUCCAGCCUUGCCCCGGCGCCCUGACCUGACGCCCUGGCCUGACGCCCUGCUUCGUCGCCUCCUUUCUCUCCUAGGUGCUGGACCAGGGACUGAGCGUCCCCCGGAGAGGGUCCGGUGUGACCCCGACAAGAAGCAGAAAUGGGGAAGAAACUGGAUCUUUCCAAGCUCACUGAUGAAGAGGCCCAGCAUGUCUUGGAAGUUGUUCAACGAGAUUUUGACCUCCGAAGGAAAGAAGAGGAAAGGCUAGAGGGGUUGAAGGGCAAGAUUAAGAAGGAAAGCUCCAAGAGGGAGCUGCUUUCCGACACUGCCCAUCUGAACGAGACCCACUGCGCCCACUGCCUGCAGCCCUACCGGCUGCUUGUGAAUAGCAAAAGGCAGUGCCUGGAAUGUGGCCUCUUCACCUGCAAAAGCUGUGGCCGCGUCCACCCGGAGGAGCAGGGCUGGAUCUGUGACCCCUGCCAUCUGGCCAGAGUCGUGAAGAUCGGCUCACUGGAGUGGUACUAUGAGCAUGUGAAAGCCCGCUUCAAGAGGUUCGGAAGUGCCAAGGUCAUCCGGUCCCUCCACGGGCGGCUGCAGGGUGGAGCUGGGCCUGAACCGAUAUCUGAAGAGAGAAGUGGAGACAGCGACCAGACAGAUGAGGAUGGAGAACCUGACUCAGAGGCCCAGGCCCAGGCCCAGCCCUUUGGCAGCAAAAAAAAGCGCCUCCUCUCCGUCCACGACUUCGACUUCGAGGGAGACUCAGAUGACUCCACUCAGCCUCAAGGUCACUCCCUGCACCUGUCCUCAGUCCCUGAGGCCAGGGACAGCCCACAGUCCCUCACAGAUGAGUCCUGCUCGGAGAAGGCAGCCCCCCACAAGACUGAGGGCCUGGAGGAGGCUGACACUGGGGCCUCUGGGUGCCAAUCCCAUCCGGAAGAGCAGCCGACCAGCAUCUUGCCUUCUGGACACAGCACCCUGGCUGAGCUCUGCCCGCCUGGAGGCUCCCACAGGAUGGCCCUGGGGACUGCUGCUGCACUCGGGUCGAAUGUCAUCAGGAAUGAGCAGCUGCCCCUGCAGUACUUGGCCGAUGUGGACACCUCUGAUGAGGAAAGCAUCCGGGCUCACGUGAUGGCCUCCCACCAUUCCAAGCGGAGAGGCCGGGCGUCUUCUGAGAGUCAGAUCUUUGAGCUGAAUAAGCGUAUUUCAGCUGUGGAAUGCCUGCUGACCUACCUGGAGAACACAGUUGUGCCUCCCUUGGCCAAGGGUCUAGGCGCUGGAGUGCGCACGGAGGCCGAUGUGGAGGAGGAGGCCCUGAGGAGGAAGCUGGAGGAGCUGACCAGCAACGUCAGUGACCAGGGGACCUCGUCCGAGGAGGAGGAGGCCAAGGACGAAAAGGCAGAGCCCAACAGGGGCAAAUCAGUUGGGGCUCUCCCCCAGGCGGACCCGGAGGUGGGCACGGCUGCCCAUCAAACCAACAGACAGGAAAAAAGCCCCCAGGACCCUGGGGACCCCGUCCAGUACAACAGGACCACAGAUGAGGAGCUGUCAGAGCUGGAGGACAGAGUGGCAGUGACGGCCUCAGAAGUCCAGCAGGCAGAGAGCGAGGUUUCAGACAUCGAAUCCAGGAUUGCAGCCCUGAGGGCCGCAGGGCUCACGGUGAAGCCCUCGGGAAAGCCCCGGAGGAAGUCAAACCUCCCGAUAUUUCUCCCUCGAGUGGCUGGGAAACUUGGCAAGAGACCAGAGGACCCAAAUGCAGACCCUUCAAGUGAGGCCAAGGUAUGUGUUACUCCAUCCAAGCCCCAGACACCCGACAAAGGUGGAAGACUGCACCCCUUUCCAGCAGUGUGGCAAGUCCGCGGCGUGGCGGAGCUGCAACGUCCUCACAGCUGCCCACACAGCAAUGCCCACACAGCUGCCACAACACCGUGGCAACUCUUUUGCAAUGGCUGUGCCCUAUCUUCUGAGAAGAAAGUUCAGUAAUUCCCUGAAAAGUCAAGGUAAAGAUGAUGAUUCUUUUGAUCGGAAAUCAGUGUACCGAGGCUCGCUGACACAGAGAAACCCCAACGCGAGGAAAGGAAUGGCCAGCCACACCUUCGCGAAACCUGUGGUGGCCCACCAGUCCUAACGGGACAGGACAGAGAGACAGAGCAGCCCUGCACUGUUUUCCCUCCACCACAGCCAUCCUGUCCCUCAUUGGCUCUGUGCUUUCCACUGUACACAGUCACCGUCCCAAUGAGAAACAAGAAGGAGCACCCUCCACAUGGACUCCCACCUGAAAGUGGACAGCGACAUUCAGUCCUGCACUGCUCACCUGGGUUUACUGAUGACUCCUGGCUGCCCCACCAUCCUCUCUGAUCUGUGAGAAACAGCUAAGCUGCUGUGACUUCCCUUUAGGACAAUGUUGUGUAAAUCUUUGAAGGACACACCGAAGACCUUUAUACUGUGAUCUUUUACCCCUUUCACUCUUGGCUUUCUUAUGUUGCUUUCAUGAAUGGAAUGGAAAAAAGAUGACUCAGUUAAGGCACCA